rnacentral:lncRNA from 1 species
ACCUCUCCUCAUCCUGGGUGCCUUUCGGCUCAACCACCCUUCUGGAGGCCAGAAAACCCACUAUUGUCACGACGCAGUUUCACUGAUGAUUGCUAGAGUGGUGGAGUUCUAUUUUGCUCCUGCUGCUUUUCCAGUUACAGGACAGCGACCUGAGGAGAGAAGGAAGCCAAGCAAGGUGCACUGAAGAUGGGCCAAGGCCUACAUCCUAUGGAAACUCUUGGGAUAGAUGAAAUCCCACCACUGAUUGACACCUAUCUUCUUUAUCUUCUUUAGCACUUAGCCUCUAAAACUUGGUGGAAAUUCACAAGUCUGGAAGUGGUCGUUGCAUUCUUGAGUAAGAUGCCGUCCAUUUUACAACCGGCAUUUGUCUGUAGGUUCCACAAUGGCUCUUUUAUUUAAAUGCUCACUCCUUGCCUAAGGAUUAUUGACUGGAGCCUUUCAUUCCUGACAUCACCCAGUUUCUCCAUGCUGACCAGCUGUGUGUGGAGAAGCAUACUCAGAAGAUGGCUACUCCGGGGUCAGCACUGCCAGCCAGCUGCUUAUUCUUGCAUGGGAUAUCCGCCUACUCCUUGCAAAAGCAGUGCCUGGGUGACCCAUCUGCUAAUGCAGAGGGGCGCUUCUGAGGCCGAGCAGUUGCAUGGCCUGGCAGAAAUACAUUUUGGGGAGUGCACAGCUUAUGUUCACACACAAGAAAGAACUUUACAGCACCAGGCACUUAGAUGUCCUUCACGCCUUCACCUCUCUAAGGAAUACCCUUUCUGAGCCAUCCUGUGCUAACCUGGACAUUAGAAUGGAAUGCAGACAAACAUACAUAGCAACUUGUCCCCUCUGAUUUACCCAAAGCCAUUUCAUUUCUUUGUGUUCACCCGCAUUACUUUGAUCCAAG